rnacentral:rRNA from 1 species
UACGGGUGGGGCGAGCGUUGUUCGGAAUCACUGGGCGUAAAGGGCGCGUAGGCGGCCCGCACAAGUCUGCGGUGAAAACCCCCGGCUUAACCGGGGGCCGGCCGUGGAAACUGUCGGGCUGGAGGCUGGGAGAGUGCAGCGGAAUUCCCGGUGUAGCGGUGAAAUGCGUAGAGAUCGGGAGGAACACCGGCGGCGAAGGCGGCUGCCUGGACCAGUCCUGACGCUGAGACGCGAAAGCGUGGGGAGCAAACAGG